rnacentral:lncRNA from 1 species
AAGCAUCUGCCGACAGUUCAGCGUUGUGCUGUUCUUCCACCUACCGUCGGAUUUUGACUAUGCAGCUGCUCUCCCACCGGUUUCGAUUUCUUUAGUCGGGGGGAAAUUCGGCUCAAUUUUGUGUGGAUUUGGUUUGAUUCGUUGUUAUCUCUUUUGGAUGUUGUUUGCAGGCGAGUGGUGGUGGUGUUUGUUGCCAUGGAGUCGCAGCAGGAGAAGGCGGUUUCUGCGCCGGCGGCGAACGGGAGCGGCGGCGCCGGCGGCGGCGAGCUGAUCGGGUACGUCGACGUGCACGUGCAGAGCGCGCGGGACAUCCAGAACAUCUGCAUCUACCACAAGCAGGACGUGUACGCGCGGCUGUCGCUGCCGGGGGAGGGGGCGCCGGCGGCGUCGACGCAGGUCAUCAACGGCGGGGGGCGCAACCCGGUGUUCGACCAGUCGCUGCGCCUGGGCGUGCGCGCCGGGGACGUCGACGGCGCGCUCCGGUGCGAGGUGUGGAUGCUGAGCCGGGUCAAGAACUACCUGCAGGACCAGCUGCUGGGGUUCGCGCUCGUGCCGCUCCCGGACGUCGUCGCCGCCGAGGGCGGCACGCUCGCCCGCGAGUUCCCGCUCUCCACCAACGACAUCUUCCACUCCCACGCCGGGUUCCUGCAGCUCGAGCUGUCCUACAUCGGGGUCGUGCCUGAGGUCGUGCCCAUCUCGCCGACGCCCAAGCCGGCCCUGGCCGACGCGGAGGAGCACCGCGCCGGCGGCGCGGCGAACGGUAAGGAGUACGAGAAGAUCGAGUUCCCCGAUCUGAAUCUCGUGGAGGAGAACCAGAUCAUGCUGUCGGAGUACAUCGGGCUGCCGUGCUCCGCCGUGGAGCCGCAGAGCUCCGAGAGCCUCCUGACCUCGGAGGAGGACGGCGACGGCGCCACCGCCGAGACCCACGUCGCCGGCGUGCGCGUCGUGCAGAGCUUCUCGACGGACAACAGCACCGCCGACUCGGCCGGCACCUUCCGGAGCGACACCCCGGUCAGCAGCGUGUCCACCACGGAGUCCCCCGCCGCCGCCGCGGUCCCGGCCACCCCGCAGUCCAACUCCUCCGGCAAUGCCGUCUCGUCGGCGGAGCAGAAGGAGAAGGCCGCCUCCGACGCCGCCGACGCGGAGGUGGAGUCCUCCCGCACCGUGCAGAGCAGCGCCAGCCCGGCGGCGAACUCCCCCGGCGCCAUGUCCGAGAGCGCGGUGGAUAAGCCGCCGGUCAUCCGCGUCAACCUCGAGCAGGAGGUCAAGGUCGACCAGAAGGAGAUCAUGGACAUGUACAUGAAGAGCAUGCAGCAGUUCACGGAGUCCCUCGCCAAGAUGAAGCUCCCGCUGGACCUGGACAACGGCAGCGACAAGAGCGCGGCCGUCUCCGGCGCCGGCGCCGCCGCUUCCGACGCGGACUCCAGCGGCGCCGACUCGGGCGCGGCGGCCGCGGCGGCGGCGAAGAAGCCGAUGGCCGGUGGGCCGGAGAAAUCUCCCAAAGUAUUCUACGGAAGCCGUGCUUUCUUCUGAAGCAAAGA